rfam:Amborella trichopoda AMTR_V1.0_contig_24964, whole genome shotgun sequence.
GGGAGAGUGGCCAAGUGGUCAAAAACGACAGACUGUAAAUCUGUUGAAGAUUUUCUACGUAGGUUUGAAUCCUGCCUCUCCCA